UGUGUCGCAUCUGCAAGUGGUCUGCCGCGUGCGCUUUACGGUGCACUGGCGGAGCAAAAGGGAAUGUGACAGGGCUGACCCAAGUAGGGGGCCUUCAACCACAGCCGACCCCGCGACUGUAGCGGUGAGGUUCCUCUCAUAUCCACUGCCGUUCAUUCGGCGGGAAGGGGAGAGGCAACCUGUGAUCCGUAGCCAGGAGACCUGCCAUCUGCACCGGUCGAAG
rfam:Ahrensia sp. R2A130 contig00003, whole genome shotgun sequence.